GGAUGAACGUUGGCGGCGUGCCUAAUACAUGCAAGUCGAACGAAGACUGUAGUAAUACUGUCUUAGUGGCGAACGGGUGAGUAACGCGUGGGUGACCUGCCCCGAAGUGUGGGAUAACAGUCCGAAAGGAUUGCUAAUACUGCAUAAUAUCCAAGAGAUUAGAUGCUUUUGGAUUAAAGGAGUAAUUCGCUUCGGGAGGGGCCCGCGUCCCAUCAGCUAGUUGGUAAGGUAAUGGCUUACCAAGGCGAUGACGGGUAGGGGACCUGAGAGGGUGGCCCCCCACAAUGGAACUGAAACACGGUCCAUACACCUACGGGUGGCAGCAGUAGGGAAUAUUAGUAAUGGGCGAAAGCCUGAACUAGCAACGCCGCGUGUGCGAAGAAGGCCUUCGGGUCGUAAAGCACUUUUUGAGAGGAUGAGGAAGGACGGUACUCUCAGAAUAAGUCUCGGCUAACUACGUGCCAGCAGCCGCGGUAACACGUAGGAGGCAAACGUUAUCCGGAUUUACUGGGCGUAAAGCGCGUGUAGGUGGUUUGGUAAGUAGGGCGUGAAAGCUCCUGGCUCAACUGGGAGAGGACGUUCUAAACUGCCAAGCUUGAGGAUGGUAGAGGGAGGUGGAAUUCCGGGUGUAGCGGUGGAAUGCGCAGAUAUCCGGAGGAACACCAGUGGCGAAGGCGGCCUCCUGGACCACUCCUGACACUCAGACGCGAAAGCUAGGGUAGCAAACGGGAUUAGAGACCCCGGUAGUCCUAGCCCUAAACGAUGUAGACUUGGCGUCGGUGGUUUAAUCGCCAUCGGUGUCGUAGCUAACGCGAUAAGUCUACCGCCUGGGGACUACGGCCGCAAGGUUAAAACUCAUAGGAAUUGACGGGUCCCCGCACAAGCAGCGGAGCGUGUGGUUUAAUUCGAUGCUACACGAAGAACCUUACCUGGGUUUGACAUCAUACUGACGUCUGUAGAAACACAGAUUUCCGUUUAGGCGGACGGUAUGACAGGUGUUGCAUGGUUGUCGUCAGCUCGUGUCGUGAGAUGUUGGGUUAAGUCCCGCAACGAGCGCAACCCCUAUCCAAUGUUGCCAACAGGUAAAGCUGGGGACUCAUUGGAGACUGCCGGAGACGAUCUGGAGGAAGGUGGGGAUGAGGUCAAAUCAUCAUGGCCCUUAAGCCCUGGGCUACACACGCGCUACAAUGGCCGGUACAACGGGCAGCGAAGGAGCGAUCUGGAGCGAAUCCCAAAAAGCCGGCCCCAGUUGGAAUCGCAGGCUGCAACCCGCCUGCGUGAACAUGGAAUUGCUAGUAAUCGCGAAUCAGCUACGUCGCGGUGAAUACGUUCCCGGGCCU
rnacentral:rRNA from 1 species